rnacentral:tRNA from 1 species
UGCAUCGGCCGGGAAUCGAACAAUGCGCGUGGCAGGCGAGCAUUCUACCACUGAACCACCGAUGC